CCUACGGGCGGCAGCAGUGAGGAAUAUUGGUCAAUGGGCGCGAGCCUGAACCAGCCAAGUAGCGUGAAGGAUGACUGCCCUACGGGUUGUAAACUUCUGUUAUAAAGGAAUAAAGUGAGGCACGUGUGCCUUUUUGUAUGUACUGUAUGAAUAAGGAUCGGCUAACUCCGUGCCAGCAGCCGCGGUAAUACGGAGGAUCCGAGCGUUAUCCGGAUUUAUUGGGUUUAAAGGGAGCGUAGAUGGGUUGUUAAGUCAGUUGUGAACGUUUGCAGCUCACCCGUAAAAUUGCAAUUUAUACUGGCAGUCUUGAUUACAGUUGAGGUAGGCGGACUUCGUGGUGUAGCGGUUACAUGCUUCGAUAUCAC
rnacentral:rRNA from 1 species